rnacentral:rRNA from 1 species
UACGUAGGGUGCAAGCGUUAUCCGGAAUUACUGGGCGUAAAGGGAGCGUAGGCGGCUAGUUUAGUCAGAGGUGAAAGCCCAGGGCUCAACCUUGGAAUUGCCUUUGAUACUGGCUAUCUUGAGUACGGAAGAGGUAUGUGGAACUCCGAGUGUAGAGGUGAAAUUCGUAGAUAUUCGGAAGAACACCAGUGGCGAAGGCGACAUACUGGUCCGUUACUGACGCUGAGGCUCGAAAGCGUGGGGAGCAAACAGG